ensembl:lncRNA
AGAGGAGAUCAAACGGUCGGUCGGUGCAGCCUGGAGCCUGUGUGGCGGCACUGCCGCCUCUGCCUGUGGGGGCCUGGCCUGAGCACACCCGGGCAGGCCUCUGAGCUUUGUACCUGAUGUCACGUCGCAGCCCAUUGUGGGUGGAGUGGGGCCUUCACCGUCAGAGGCUGCAACCGCAGAAUCGUGGCCUUGGCUGAGGGCUCCCUUUGUGCGAAUCUGCAGAAACACAUGACCUCGUUGGAGGGCAGUGACCCCACCUGAGAGUGGUGACCCUGCCUGGCUGAGAGAGGCCAGCGGGGCCUGGUGGCCUAGCAACUCAUAAGACUUUGUCCCCAAGUAGUUCCAUAGAACGAGUCCUCUCAAGCUCUACACGAGUUUUCGGAUGUUGGUAAGUGCAAUUUCCAUGGCAUUGCAGCAUCUUCCUUCUGAAGCCAGGGGCUCAGUGAGACGGUGGAGGGGAGUCUCUGUGUGGGGAGAAACCAGGUGGGGCAGUGUUGUCCUGGCAGCCCAGGGAUGCACUUUCCCUGUGAAUCCACACGUGGUGCUGACGUUCUGCCACACUGUGCGCCCCCCCGGCCCCCGUUGAGCCUCCCACUUGGGCCUUGAAUGUGGAGAGUCCCAGGCCCCCAGCUCCAUGCUCUGGCCUCAUCGUCAGCACCAGCACAGCCUGCAGGCAGCGCUGCUUUCUCUUGGCCUCGGUGCUGCCGUGCAGGCUGGGUGCCCCUGUCCCGUUCUCAGCCCUGCUUUUUAGGACCUGGUGCUGACAGCUUCCGGUCAGUCAUCUUUUAGGGUUGAAUGGUGGGGGCACAAGGGCUGAGGUGCCUCUAUUCGGUGACCACGAGACCCUCUCCUGAAACUAUUGGACCAGCUCUCCAGGAGUGGGACGUGGGAGUCUGCAGUUUGAAAAGCUCCAGCCCAGGUGGUUCUAAUGUGGUGCAUAGGGAACCACUAAAGGAGACAGGUGUCAUGGGCCCUCAAACCUGGGAAGGAGGUGAGCCACCAGCUGCGUGGUCAGGAGGAGCAUCAGAUUUGAGUGACAGUUUUUACACAGACUGUACUUUAUCUUUCAGAUUCUUUUCCCACAUAGAUGAUCACAGACUAUUGUGUAGAGUUCUCUACUGUUAUACAGCAGGUCCUUGUUGGCCAGUCAUUCCGUUUACCUCUGGGCAAAUGCCAUCCCCAACCACCACUCCAUCCCUCCCUCCCCCCUGACACAGGUUGGACUCUUAGCAAGUACCUAGAUCCACCCUGAGCCCACUCAUACGUCCCCGCAAAGCACUAUUGUUGCCGAAAUGUCGGCUGCCUCUGUACAUCGAUGCCAAAUAGAAAUGCAGAGUCAGAGUUGGAGCAAACAGAAAAAGUCGCUUUAAUUGCUGGGCAAAGGGGGAACACAGCGGGCUAGUGCUUCCAGGACUGUGCGCCCCUCAGAGGGAGUAGUGAGGAGUCUUAGAGUGUUUGAGGAGCAGGAUGUGAUCAACUCAUGGACAUUUUUCUGAUUGGUUGCUGAUGAAGUAAUUGGGAGUCAGCGUCAUCAACCUUUGGUUCCAGCCAGUCUGGGGUCUGCGUGCUUGCGGGCAGCAUACAGUUGGCUUCUUCCACCUGGUGGGGGCUUCAGCACCUGCAAAACAGCCCCAAGGACAUGGCUCAGAAUGUUAUCUGUAGCCUUUGAAGAACUGAAGGUCUUUGACCUGUCGAAUGGCUAAAUUUACGGUUUUCUUCUUUCUCUAUAUUUUCUCACUUCUGUGAUUAAAUUACCUCUUUGAUUAAAGUUUUUCUAUAGAUAAAAUGGCAGGCAGAGGCCAUGAGUGUGGGGGGUCCACUCUGGGGAGGCCUCCCAGCAUCCUGCCCGGUUAGGCUGUGGUCUGUGGUGUUGGAAUUCAAUUCCAGGAAGGUCACGGUGGUGAAAAACAAUGUCGGCCCAUGGUGAGCUUUCCUGACUGCCCUCUCCCGAUGAGGAACGUGUAAUAAUUCAGCAUUUUGUAAAGCUUAAAGUCAGUCUAUACAAAAGUCAUCCUGGAGUUCCCAUUGUGGCUCAGUGGUAAUGAGCUGGACUAGUAUCCAUGAGGUUCUGGCCUCAGUCAGUGGGUUAAGGAUCCUGUGUUGCUGUGUGCUGUGAGCUGUGGUAUAGGUCACAGACAUGGCUUGGAUCUGGUGUUGCUCUGGCUGUGUUGUAGGGUGGUGGCUGCAGCUCCAAUUUGACCCCUAGUCUAGGAACUUCCAUAUGCCCUGGUUUAUUUGACCCCAAGCAAAAAAACAAAAACAAAAACCAAACAAAAACAAAACAAAAAAAAA